AUACGGAGGGUGCAAGCGUUGUUCGGAAUCACUGGGCGUAAAGGGCGCGCAGGCGGUUUGGUAAGUCAGAUGUGAAAGCCCACGGCUCAACCGUGGAAGUGCAUUUGAAACUGCCAGACUUGAGUACCAGAGGGGAACGUGGAAUUCCCGGUGUAGAGGUGAAAUUCGUAGAUAUCGGGAGGAAUACCGGUGGCGAAGGCGACUUUCUGGCUGGAUACUGACGCUGAGGCGCGAAAGCGUGGGGAGCAAACAGGAUUAGAAACCCCAGUAGUCC
rnacentral:rRNA from 1 species